rnacentral:tRNA from 1 species
GUAGAUAUAGUUUAAUAAAAACAUUAGAUUGUGGUUCUAAAAACAGAAGUUAAAAUCUUCUUAUUUACC